rnacentral:rRNA from 1 species
GACGAACGCUGGCGGCGUGCUUAACACAUGCAAGUCGAACGGAAAGGCCCUGCUUUUGUGGGGUGCUCGAGUGGCGAACGGGUGAGUAACACGUGAGUAACCUGCCCUUGACUUUGGGAUAACUUCAGGAAACUGGGGCUAAUACCGGAUAGGAGCUCCUGCUGCAUGGUGGGGGUUGGAAAGUUUCGGCGGUUGGGGAUGGACUCGCGGCUUAUCCGCUUGUUGGUGGGGUAGUUGCUUACCAAGGCUUUGACGGGUAGCCGGCCUGAGAGGGUGACCGGCCACAUUGGGACUGAGAUACGGCCCAGACUCCUACGGGAGGCAGCAGUGGGGAAUAUUGCACAAUGGGCGGAAGCCUGAUGCAGCAACGCCGCGUGCGGGAUGACGGCCUUCGGGUUGUAAACCGCUUUCGCCUGUGACGAAGCGUGAGUGACGGUAAUGGGUAAAGAAGCACCGGCUAACUACGUG